GGCUGUCAAUUUCCUGUGCGUAAUACAAAAUGACUGAAAAACGGCAAACUUCGCAAUAUUACUAAUUUUGUGACGCUCUUUCAACCGGUGAUGAAAUUUUUCUCUAGAUUAAAAUUUUAGUUAUAAGGGGAAAGGUCCAUACAAGCCAAGAAAUAAACAUCGAAGCUUUCUUGAGAAAUAUUCCAAUUCAAAUUACAGAGGCGCGUCGUCAAUUAUUUUGUGACAAUAUCAAUGUUGUUGAGUUUAUCCAGCGACGCCUAGAAGACAAUUUAUUUGUUGUAAAUAUACUUCUCCAGCGUGCAAUAGAACGCAUUGACGAUCGACAAAUUAAUUCAGAAUGAUCUUGGUAUUUUGGUGUCUGAAUUGCAAUCAUUGUGCAAUAGUUACGACGCGCUUUGGAUCAGAAAUGAGAACUUAGCUAACCCGCUGAGUUUUACUUGUCCAUUAGAGAGAAUUGUUCAAAAAGGAAGAAGACGGUACAGUCAUCUGCAGAAUGCUUUGACCAACUUACAUGGGAUACACCGCAGCUGAUGGUCUCAAGUUGCUGCGGAAAUUGGAGUGAGCUACCGAACUAUAUUACGACGACGCCACGAGUACCGCUUACCAGUCAGCAACACAAGUGGGCCACGAAACACGUUUACUUAAAUUACCCAUACUGAUUUGUGUAAUGUUGUUCGAGAGGUUCUCCAGAUUUUACCUAACGCUGGCGAAACGUUUGUGUUGGGCGCCCUAGGGCAACGAAAUAUUCAUAUUCAACGAUGGAAAGUGAGAAAUGCAAUUUGCAGUGUAGACC